rnacentral:rRNA from 1 species
ACGCGAAGAACCUUACCUACCCUUGACAUGUCGGGAAGUUUGUAGAGAUACAGACGUGCCUUCGGGAACCUGAACACAGGUGCUGCAUGGCUGUGGUCAGCUCGUGUCGUGAGAUGUUGGGUUAAGUCCCGUAACGAGCGCAACCCUUGUCCUUAGCUACCAGCACGUAAUGGUGGGAACUCUAAGGAGGCUGCCGGUGACAAACCGGAGGAAGGUGGGGAUGACGUCAAGUCCUCAUGGCCCUUAUGGGUAGGGCUACACACGUGCUACAAUGGUCGGUACAGAGGGUUGCCAACCCGCGAGGGGGAGCUAAUCCCAUAAAACCGAUCUCAGUCCGGAUUGAGGUCUGCAACUCGACCCCAUGAAGUUGGAAUCGCUAGUAAUCGUGGAUCAGAACGCCACGGUGAAUACGUUCCCGGGCCUUGUACACACCGCCCGUCACACCAUGGGAGUGGGUUGUACCAGAAGUAGGUAGGCUAACCGUAAGAAGGCCGCUUACCACGGUAUGAUUCAUGAGUGGGGUUAAAUAAGGUAAUUUUUAGG